CAUGCAAGUCGAGCGGGGGAAGGUAGCUUGCUACUGGACCUAGCGGCGGACGGGUGAGUAAUGCUUAGGAAUCUGCCUAUUAGUGGGGGACAACAUCUCGAAAGGGAUGCUAAUACCGCAUACGUCCUACGGGAGAAAGCAGGGGAUCUUCGGACCUUGCGCUAAUAGAUGAGCCUAAGUCGGAUUAGCUAGUUGGUGGGGUAAAGGCCUACCAAGGCGACGAUCUGUAGCGGGUCUGAGAGGAUGAUCCGCCACACUGGGACUGAGACACGGCCCAGACUCCUACGGGAGGCAGCAGUGGGGAAUAUUGGACAAUGGGGGGAACCCUGAUCCAGCCAUGCCGCGUGUGUGAAGAAGGCCUUAUGGUUGUAAAGCACUUUAAGCGAGGAGGAGGCUACUUUAGUUAAUACCUAGAGAUAGUGGACGUUACUCGCAGAAUAAGCACCGGCUAACUCUGUGCCAGCAGCCGCGGUAAUACAGAGGGUGCGAGCGUUAAUCGGAUUUACUGGGCGUAAAGCGUGCGUAGGCGGCUUAUUAAGUCGGAUGUGAAAUCCCCGAGCUUAACUUGGGAAUUGCAUUCGAUACUGGUGAGCUAGAGUAUG
rnacentral:rRNA from 1 species